AAGAGACAGAGAGAGAGAGAAGAAAGAAGGAAGGAAGGGAGAAGGAGGGAGGGAAAUAAGGAGGGACAGAGAAGGACUUGUUGUAGGGAGAGACUCCAUUCUGAGCACACAUAAAAUGAGGGAAGCUUCUCUACUCUUGCUUCAGUCACAGAACAGACACUAAGCGUUCCCAUCCCAGAGGAGGCAAUCUCUUCCAUGACAUCGGUCUGUCUGAAGGUGUAUCUUAUGCUUUAUUAAUUGUUUUUUUUUAGUCCUAGUUGAACAUUCUAAUUUUUCAAUGCAUGUUCCUUGUGUGGUCUCUUAUCCUGGUGCAAUCUGAGUUUAGAUGACCUUGGAAGAUUGAGCUAGGACAGGGGUUCAAGCCAACAAAGUACAUUAUCAAACCCCAGUAAUCCAGGUGAGCCCAGGGUUGGUGGGUGUGUGGGCCACCUUCUCUCUACCUUCUCUAUCAGCCUUUUCAGUGGAGGGAUGUUUUCUAGACUAUGGGUGGAGCUGGGUAGAGGUUAGAUAACUCUGCUUCUCUCUACCAGCUCCAUUUCUAAAUGCACCCCUUUGGCUCUUUGAAUGCAGAGACCCCAGGCACAAUAAUCUCCGGGAGGGCUGCAUUGGAUCAGCUCUAAGCUCCUUUCUAGAACUCAGUCUAUGGUCCUCUGAGUUGGCCCUGUUAGCUUCACUGCCUCUGUUCGAACAGAGAAUAGAUUUGGAGGUGAAAGAGACCUUAGCCAUCAUCAAGUCAUAGCUCUGGCAUUGAAAGGGAUCCCAGAACUUCUCUGCUCUAACCCUCUCCUUUUACAGAGGAAGAUCCAGUCCCAGGGGCUGACUAAGAUCAAUCAGGGAGCCAGUGGCAGUCUGGAAUCCUUUCUACCUCACCACCAAAAACUAAGGCUUAGGUUUCCUAUCCCCAGCUUUAUUAUGAAAUGAAAUUACAAUUCAGAUCAACUCUUUCUCUUUCCCCCUCAAACCGCAGUAGCCAUGGUGUAAUGGAGAGAGCUGGCCUUGGAAUUGGGAAGUCCGGGUUCAAGCCUUGCCUCUGUCACAUACUGUGACCCGUCCUCCAGGAAAACUGAGGUAAUGAGCUUGCCCGUGGGGCCAUGACAGUGCUACCAUUCUGCUAUGGCCUCAGCGAGGGCUCUGGUGUCAAGCAUGGAUCAUUGGGUUCUUUGUCAGACAUGCAGGGAAGCUGGGAUUCAAAUGCAGAGAAGCAACACUGAGGAAGCUGAGCUUUCUUGUUACCUUUCAAUCAAGGGAGUUGGCCAACACAAGGUGGCUGUGGCUCUGUGGGGCUGAAGAAGCAUUUCUAGAGCUGCAUCACCACCUGGUGGCCAAAGGAUCAGUGACAUCAUGGGCGAGGUCUCGACUCGCAUGUGAUUUGGAUUUAAGUGAGACAGAGCUGCACAAAGUCAUCAGCUUCACCCUCUCUCAAGUCGGGAUGGCUGGCAAUGGUCUGGGAUGCAGUGGGUGACCUUUGCAUGUCUGACCAGGCUCUCUGUAGCACUUGCCUCUGCCUCCUUCGUAGCUGUCGGAAUAGAUUGUUUUCAUGCACCCAUUCCACUGAGGGAAGGCUUCCCAUGAUCCCCCUAACUCACCGCUGGAUUUCAGGCCUGUUAGUUGGUUUAGCUCAUCUGCCAAGAAGUUUUAUUAGGGUGUAGCCACUGAGUAGGCUACGGCUUCUUGGAGCCACAGAUGAGAGUUGGGUGAAUCAGGUGGACACCAAAGGUGGAUGAGAAACAAGCCCUCAAACCCGAACACCUCAUCUACCCCUGCUUAUGAUUAAUGCGAGUCAAAAGGGUCCUCUGGGUUUGUCAAUCUUCUCCAGCCUAAAGGAAAAUCAGAUUUGAUUUUCCUAAUAAUCAAAUUAUCCCUGAGCUUCCUCCUAAAUGGCAUGCUAUGGAAUCAGGCCAUUUAGCCAAUCAGUUUCUGAUAACCAGACAGCUGUGCUAACAGUGGAAAUGUGGCCAUUCCUUGCUUAUAUUCAGUUAAGUCCAGAUUUCUACAGACAAUUUGGCCCUAAUGGUGAAUCUGGAUUUUGUGUCAUUUACUAUAGGGCUUAGUGUCUGAUCACUCUUGAAGAGCAAAGACUUUUGGUAGUUUGGUCUUUCUCUAUUCUCCCCUUCCCAAUUACUUUUUUUUUUUUUGCAGUUAGGUAAAAC